rnacentral:lncRNA from 10 species
AGGACCUGAAGGAGAAGAAGGAGAAGGUGGAGGAGAAGGCAAGCCGGAAAGAGCGAAAGAAAGAAGUGGUGGAGGAGGAGGAGAACGGGGCUGAGGAGGAAGAAGAAGAAACUGCCGAGGAUGGAGAGGAGGAAGAUGAAGGGGAAGAAGAAGAUGAGGAAGAAGAAGAAGAGGAUGAUGAAGGGCCCGCGCUGAAGAGAGCUGCCGAAGAGGAGGAUGAAGCGGAUCCCAAACGGCAGAAGACAGAAAAUGGGGCAUCGGCGUGAGCCCCUGCCAACAGGCUGGGGUUGGGAGGCCUCUCUGGGCCUGGAGGUGGGGGUGGGGGCAGCCAAGUCCAGCCACUCUUCACCUGGCUCCCUGCUCUGGGCCCUGCACCAGAGCUGCCACCCUCUUCUUUCUCCCCAGCCUUCUCAUUUCCGCCUCUCCAGACACUGCGCCCUCCACCCUCACUCUGCCAUUGUUCCACCUCCUGACCUGCUCCAUCUGAGCUCUCCAGCUGGCCCCCAAUUGCUCCUCUCUCUCUUUGCUCUCUUUCUCCCUCCCCUACCAGCCUCAUUCUUCCUCCGGUAGCCUCUCCCACCUAACCUCUGCAUCCCCCAGCCUCAUGUCCUGCCCCAUCCCUAUCCUGCCUGAUCCCUGGAUCUCCCUCAGAUCCCCUCUUCUCAGACAGCGCCAGGCCGGGGUGGGGCCGGGGUUGGGGCCGAGCCCCACAGCUGCCCCCCUCCCCUCCCUUUUUGUAUAAUUUAAU